UUAGACUGUUUAAAAACUCUCCGCGGUGGUUGAAGUUGCAAUACCGGAGCCGUCUAUUAUCUUAGCCUAAAUAAAUGCAUACGUAUGCGGGUUAAUUUCCUCCUGGGAGUCAAAGGAAGACCAGGCAUUAAGCAUUCCUUAACGUCUGUUACUAUUAAGGAGAGACACUUUUAUCAGAGCCCAAACCUCCCGUCUGAUUGCACGGCGAUAACUUUGUGAGGGCCAAGCCUAAGAAGAACACUUUUGAGAAUCAUACCAAGGCACUAUUUGAUAAUGAAGUCAGAAGGGUAGGCGUGAACCCGGUCUCCUGCAGGCAGCCGGGGUGCGUGGCCCCCCAUUCACGCGGACACACGCUGUGCACCCAGCCAGAGCCCCUGGAUACAUGGCUUCAUCCUCGGAGCAGGACGUACUGUCCCGAUUUUACAGAUGAAGAAAUGGAGUCUGGCCCAGAGAAUUCACCUGUCCAUAUCCCCCCUGGAAAGUGGGUGGACGAGCCUCGAUUUUUAUGCAGGAGCUUUUGACUCCCGGAAUCCAAGAAGGGGAUUACUAUACGGACAUGAGGCUGAAAUGCUUGCCUUUAGGGUUGUUUAGUUGCCGAAAGGUAACCGAGCUGUCUGGCCUGCAGGAGGCGCUUCGAAAAAUAAGAACUAUUUUUACAGCGUGAAUAGUGAGGACUGCAGCCACCGUGAUCCUUUGGUUAAGCAAUCCUGGGAUCAGGCAGAAGUCACCACACUGCUUGUUCCAGGAAAUGCCUGCUCCUGGGAGAUAAGAUGAUGCCUCAGCUCUCACUUCCAAACCCCACCUCCCUGGCCCACCAUUCCAAUGCUCUUAUGUCAGAAACUCUGCCCAGUCCCCACCUGCUCCUUGCUGUGCAAGACCCACUUCAAAAUCUCCCAGCCAGGGCCCUAAAACCCUAUAAAUACCAUCCCUCAUUUUCUUAAUUUGAGACUCUGUGGAAGCCAGUGUUGUCCUUUACUGCAGGAGGUCCAAUAAACCCAGUUUUGCUUGAUCAACA